CACUGUGUAGAAACUUUUUAGUUUGAUGUAGUCCCACUUGUUUAAUUUUGCUUUUGUUGCCUGUGCUAAUCCCCUCCCCUUCAUUGUGAGCUGGACCUAGAGACUCACUUCCAACGAGUGGAGUACAGCAAUGUGACAAAACAUCACUUCCAAGACGAGGGCAGGAGGGGAUUAAGUCUUCCUUCUUGGUCACGGCUUCCCUUUCUCUUUCUCUGAUCACUCGCCAUGGGGGAAUCCGGUUGCCAUAUCACGAGGUCACUCGGCAACUCGGGAAGAGGUCCACACGGUGACACACUGAGACCGAUAGAUGCUGGGGAACCGAGGCCGGCCAACAACCCUAGCAGUGAUCUUGGAAGUGGACUCUCCACCUGCUCAGCCUCCAGAGACCACGGGCCUGGCUCACAGCUCGACUCCCACCCAACAGGCCCUGAGCCAGAACUGACUGUCCACCUGCUCCUGGACUCCUGAACCACAGAAAACCGUAAGCUCUUUGAAGACAGUGCUGAGGUUAAGUGACUUCCCCAAGACCACACAGCGGAGACAGGACACAAAACCCAGGCCGUUCUCUCCAAAGACAGCUCUUCCUGAAUCAACUUGCUCUUCGGAGAGCUGUCCGGAUCCACCACCUGGAGCACCGACUGCGUGAGGGGCACGGGCUGUCCACGCCAGUGGGAUGGCUAGACAGAAAGGCAGCUGACAUUAGCACGUGCGGGGCAAUGGAAUUGAUGAUGAUGAGCUCGAUGCAGAUGAAGCUGAGCAUGAGCAGAAGAGGGAACUCGUUCUGAAGGGUCACCAGGAGCCUGUCCUGGAUGUGGGCCCCGUGGGGGAACCUCUUCACGAGCACACUCAGGCCCUCAAACAUCUCGGUCGUCCCGUUGUGGGCGUGGUAAUGCAUGAUGGCCUUGUCCAGCGCAUGCUGGAUGGCCAGGAAGCCUUCGUUGCUGUAUCCUGCGUGAGAGAACAGCGGACACCCGAGCGUAAGAGACUUGGAAGACUGGAGGUGCAGAACACCCGCUGAGCGAGGCGGGUCGUGGCUAACGAUUCCUGGAGACGAUCCGGCGGGAGUGGGCCGGUCUCCCUGGAGUCCACGUGCCGCCACGGGGAAGAAGGAGCAGCGUCCCCGGGGGCCCCCUGUGGCUGUGAUGGUGUCCGUUAUCAGAAAACAGGGCAAAGGCAUCCUGAGCCCACAAAACAAGGGGUGUCCAUUGCCACGCUCUUGCACGGUGGGGCCGCAUCCUCUCCCCUAAGCGCUCGGGCUUCAGGGAGAGGGUGCUUGUUCCGCACUUCCGGUCACCAGGACACAUGAAAGGGUUAAAUGCAAAGGACUGGGAGACACGCGCCCCCUCACCUACUGGGACCUCUGUCUGAGCUGUCACUGCUGUGGUCCGAGGGUUAUGGUCGUUGAAUUUUGCUGCCAAGUCUCAAAGCCAAACUUUACCACCGGCAACGUUUAUUUUCAUACAGUGCAGUCGGUGGGCGAAGGUCAGCUUUUGGGAAAAAUAGGUCGGAGGGCAGAGAUUCCCGGUGUGGGGAUCUCGUAAGAGUUAAAGGCCCCACCUCCCAGCAGGGGUUACCGGCCCUCCACAUGGGCAGAGCCAGCGUGGGCUACCCAGCAGUAAAGGGGAGGUGACUAUGCUCUCCCGAUGACCUUGACCUACGCAGACCCCUGGAUCUGUCAGCACGAGAAAGGGAGGAACAAAUUGCUGGUAAUAAAAUUCCGGGAACCAUCACGGAGUCUUCACGGCAUAUCGGAGCGUUUCCACUGCAGAACCGUUGGCAUCCUUUCUAGAAUCACAUGGAAUGAUAAGCCCUCGGGUUUACAUUCCCACUCGCUGGGCUUGCGGGCCCAAGGUUCUCGACAGUUGCGUGGCCAUCCUCCGGGGAGGUGCACGCUGUCUGCUCGAUUUCCUGAGAGCUGUCCGCUCCCUACCAGGGAGGUCUCCCUGAACCCCGCACAAAGAGAGAGACCCCAGGUCUACAGUGACGUGGAGGCCAGGCCUCCGAGCUGCCCCACGGCUUCUCCCCUGGCCUGCAGAGAGCUGAAGACCGUCAGGUAUAUAAGCAAACUUAUGUAAUAAGGAGAGAAGGAGGAGCGGAAGGCAGACGGCCGUCUGUCCCGGGGACGCAGAGCGCGCAGAGAGAAGCGUGGCGGCGGAAGCGGCCGGAGGCGGAAGCAGUGGCAGGUCCCGGAACCGCGGGACUCAGCCCCGGAGACUCCCGCAGGCGGAGGCCUGAAGUGUCCCUGGCAUAGCGCGCACGCGCAGAAGGAAGCCUGGAAGGAAAGCCCUGGAACCGGCGACGCCAAGGACAGAGUAUAAACAGCGAUGAGGUAAGAAGUGAGUCGGAGAUAAUGAAACAGAAUUAACGCCUCGAGACGCCCCAUACGAGGAGGGAGACGUUGCCCGAGGUAGGAUCUUAAGGGAAGACAGAAGAGAAAUGCUUUCUUCUCCGUGGAGGCGACCGAAGGGUCCCAGGGAGUGAGGUGGGGAUCCAGGCCGGAUGCAAAGGCCGAAUGUUUAGGGAGCCGGAGGGCUGCUCACGGACUGGAGCCCAAGGCCCCAGGUUCAUCUCCGUCUCCCUGCGAGACCCGGAGAGCAGCCAGAGGAAGAGACAGAUCGCGCCAGACAACUUCUCUUCAAACCCUGCCACGUGGGCGGCCUGGCGCACAUGGAGGAAAACCCAAGACUUGGGGGAGGCGUGCGAGUCUCCUGCAGACGCUCCAGCCUCGCUCGGGACCAUUCCCCCCCCCCCCCCCCCCCCCCCCCCCCCGCUUCCUUCAGCCUCGUUCACGGCGGCCACACCCCACCCCCAGCCCCGCCGCGGCCCCCCCAACCUGCCCGCCCCCCCACCCCAGUCCCCAGGCCGCCAUCCUACUUUGCAAGUCGUGUCCUUCACCUGCACCGCCGUAUCAUCUCCAGCCUCCCAAGAGGAGCUUUCUCUGUUGUGUUUUGUUUCCAAUCUCGUACUAGUAGAAUUAGAAUGGUAUUUUAGGUUGCCAGGCAAGCGCAAAGCCCCAAAACAGCGGCCCCCACGUGUGUUGCCACUGAGGGCCUUUAAAAGAAUUGUCUGCGUUGAGUGGCACUCAGAGCUGGGAGAGGAGAGCCCUUCCUUUUCACUCGGUACCUUAUGUAUUAUUAGAACAUCUUUACAAAAGCACAUAUUACAAUCAUGGCAAUUUUGGAACAUGACUCCACAUUUUGUGGAUUCCGCGUUUUGAAAAACUGUUAUCUACCUAACUCCAUUAACGAACGUAUUUAUUCAUUCAGUAAAUAUGUAUUGAGCAGCGAGUGUAUGCCAGGCAUGAAGGAGGCCCAGUGAUGAAGAAAACGGACAGGGCCCUCUGCCCUCAGGGAGGUGGAGCCCAGCAGGCUUGUCAACCGCAGGCUUGACACAGAAAGCCCAAAGUGGCGGUGUGAUGAACCGUGAAUCAGAGAUCUCUGACCGUAGCCAAAGGGGCGCAGAGACGAAGGCGCAGCUGAGAAAUCUAAAUAAAGCCCGGUUGGCAGCUUGCCCAGUGCCCCUGAAAGGAGCCUGGAGGCAGGGGUAGGGCCAGACCCUGGACUACUGGUGCAGUGGAAGCCACCAGAGGGGCAGAAGCACAAGGCUGGCCAGACCUUUCGGACCUUUGAGAGACCUUCUUGGCUGCAUGCAGAGACUGGCUUAGAAUGAUUAAAAUGAGAAGAGAGACGGACGACUAGUUCAGAAUCUCCCAAGUCGCCAGAACGUGGUUGCGGCAAUCAGAGACCUCGUGGGCGGCUUUCCCCCAGCUGUCACCUCCACAGAUUUUUUAGGAUUUGGAGACCCCAGAUAUGGAAUCACGACUAUGCGCACCCUCAGGAAACAGCCUCAAACUCUAUAAAAUUGCCCUCCCUCCCUCCCUGUCCUUACCCCGUCGUUAUGUCUCACCUUGAAACUCAACGUCAAAGGAUUUCCCCACCGCUUCAGUGAUAGCCUUCAACGUUUCGCUUUUGGAAGAGACAUACACUAGUUGGUAUCUGGUGUGAGUAGGAAAAUAGAGGAAGUCUGGCAGUAAACUGAUAUUGAUGGCCAGGUAGUUGACAGGAGGUAUUUUCUUGGGCAAACUGUUUAAACGCAGGUACAUGAUGAUCAUGGAGAAGAGUAGCGGCAUUAGGAUUUCAAGCACUGUUAUCAGAGUCUUCCGCUUCUAGAACAGAAAGGAAAGCAGCAUGAGAACGCGAGUGUUAAGUCACCACACGGCGACGUUUCUUCCAUUUAAGAAGCCCUUUCAUUCUCCCCCACCCCCAGCCUCCCUGCACAACCCACAAAAAAGAAAAAAAUAGAGAAUGAACUAAAUGGCUUCUCUUUCUGGACUUUUCCAUGACAUCAGCGGCGAGAAACCAGUAAUGAUGAUGCAACCUUCAGUGAUGACGGUUUGCGGAAUUCCAGUGGGAACCUGGCUUAUUUGUAGGAACGGGCCCCGUUUCAAGUACAGUUGUUGAUUUUUUCUUUAAUCGGUUAUUAGAUGCCAGCGUGACAUAAACAUUCAGUCCCCCCACCCCGGACAUGCCCACGGCUCCAAGAACCACCUUACCCACCUUCAAGAUGAAAUUCUUCCAAAGAAGAAGUUUUAAAUUCCUGACCAUUGUCACUUUCCCACCGGAAGGGGAGGGAUCAGCACCAGCUGGGAAGCAAACGGGGCAACUGUCAGGCAUCACACACACGUGCCCUCCUGUCCUUGAGGAGCUGUCUGCUCUCGGACUUUCAGAGCAUCGUUUCUUCUUUUUUUGCGGGCUCCCCCUCCUCUGCCCACCUCUAAACAUCCCAGCGGGGCUCGGCUCACACUCCCCCGUGGGCAAUCUCACUUGGUCUUUGAUGUUGAAAUGCACGGACACACUGAUGAUUUCCACAUUCCUGUCUACAGCCUGCACCUGCCGGGUCUCCUGCCCCAACCCCUCCCGUCCGAGCAGGAGCCCAGCUUCGCGAGGACAAGGUCGUGCGAAGGUCUCCCUGUCUCCUCUCAUCUCCCGUUUUCCCCUGCCCCGCUGCGGGCCUGGCUGUGAUCCAGAAGGGACAGAAGUGGCUUCUGCUCACAGCCCACGCACCUGCUGUGGCGUGCCUCCCUCAUGCGUCAUUAAACUACUGAACGUGCUGUUUA